rnacentral:rRNA from 1 species
GACGAACGCUGGCGGCGUGCUUAACACAUGCAAGUCGAACGGAAAGGCCCUGCUUUUGUGGGGUGCUCGAGUGGCGAACGGGUGAGUAACACGUGAGUAACCUGCCCUUGACUUUGGGAUAACUUCAGGAAACUGGGGCUAAUACCGGAUAGGAGCUCCUGCUGCAUGGUGGGGGUUGGAAAGUUUCGGCGGUUGGGGAUGGACUCGCGGCUUAUCAGCUUGUUGGUGGGGUAGUGGCUUACCAAGGCUUUGACGGGUAGCCGGCCUGAGAGGGUGACCGGCCACAUUGGGACUGAGAUACGGCCCAGACUCCUACGGGAGGCAGCAGUGGGGAAUAUUGCACAAUGGGCGGAAGCCUGAUGCAGCAACGCCGCGUGCGGGAUGACGGCCUUCGGGUUGUAAACCGCUUUCGCCUGUGACGAAGCGUGAGUGACGGUAAUGGGUAAAGGAGCACCGGCUAACUACGG